UUGGAUUUCGGGAGUGGAAUCGCCAGUGGGGUUCUGGAUCAGCGUUGUAUAAUGAGGGGGACGCUGAAUGAGUAUAGCCAGUAGUGUAUUAACAGGUGUCGAAGUGGGAUUUUUAAAUCCGGCAGUUUGUCUGUUGUUGCAUAUCCGUAACUGAGUAUCGUUCAAGACAUUGAUAUCCUGUGAAAGGUCAGGAUUCUAUCUGGUGUGUUGAUGGACGCCUUGGCUGGAUAUGAGAGUGAUGGAGAUUCAAAGAUGUCCACCGACAAGUUGGCAAACUACGAGAAUGUUGAGAUGGACAUAAGUGAGUCAACUGUGGAACCCUCGGGCCAAGGGCCGCAUAGUCGUCCGGUGGGUUCAAGACUGCGGACACGACUCGAACGACGCCGAGCCGCCACGGCCGGCGCCCCGGGACGCACGCGGCACCGCCCCC
rnacentral:misc_RNA from 1 species